GGCUGUGUGGCUGCUUGAUUUUCAUUGUCUAGUGGCAGCCAAAAUUGGAAAAGAGAGAAGUGCAGACUUUAAAGACAAGCAGCGACAGCUCAUCAGCAGUCUAACAACACGACAGAUGACAGGCCCAGAGGCACACCCAGGGCCGCCAGCCCAUCACCCUGUGCAGGAUGUCAAAGAGCAGCUGCAGCAAAGGAAGAAGAUCAUCCAGACUUAAAUGUUUGGGCCUUGCUAAGACCAUAGAGUCUUUGUGCUUUGGAAACAGUCCUCCAUACAAAGACCCCUUCCUAGAAAAGAGUGGAAAGAAACCAAGGCACAGGAAGAAAGCAUUGAGGUCACAGGGCAGCUCAGGUCCGCCUGUGGUAAUUGAAAACAGGUGACGAGAUUGGGUUGAUUUUAUUUUGGAAAAGUAAAUUAGUGCUGCACCACUCGGACAUGGCUAAUUCAUGAAGCCUCUGGUUUGUAUUAGACACCCAACAUGCCUUUCAGAAAGAAAUGACACAACAAUUAAUGUGUCAAAUAAUAAUGUGCCACUCGGAGAAAGAUAAUUGUACCCAUCGUCAGGUAGUUAUUAGGUCGAACGAAUGCUCAUCCUUUCAAAGGCAACAGCGUCUAUUCAUUCUGGCAUCCUACUGUAAGUACAGUAUUGUGUUCAUAAUCACACAGACUGAAGCCAGGAACACUGGGUUUUAUCUGAUUUUUCUCCAUUUGGAAUUGUACUCCGAUGAUUCCCUAAACAGCAAACUCAGUCAUGUGAAACACAAAUGAGUGUGAUGAAAGACAGAUUGUUAUACUGCAGGAGAGGCUUUC
rnacentral:lncRNA from 1 species